rnacentral:rRNA from 1 species
GGUUGAUCCUGCCAGUAGUCAUAUGCUUGUCUCAAAGAUUAAGCCAUGCAUGUCUAAGUAUAAGCUUGUUUAUACGGCGAGACUGCGGAUGGCUCAUUAAAUCAGUUAUAGUUUAUUUGAUGGUCUCUUUUGUCUUUUUUUUACCUACUUGGAUAACCGUGGUAAUUCUAGAGCUAAUACAUGCGCAAGGUCCCAAGCGCGGGGCGGCUCCUCGCGGGCCGCUCGCAUGUGCAGCGGGAUGUAUUUAUUAGGUUAAAAACCAGCACUCAAAACCUCACUGGUGAUUCAUAGU